rnacentral:rRNA from 1 species
GAUGAACGCUAGCGGCAGGCUUAAUACAUGCAAGUCGAGGGGCAGCAGGUCUGUAGCAAUACAGAUGCUGGCGACCGGCAAACGGGUGCGGAACACGUACACAACCUUCCUUUAAGUGGGGAAUAGCCCAGGGAAACUUGGAUUAAUACCCCGUAAAUUAAUGAAGUGGCAUCACUUUAUUAAUUAAAGACUCAGGCGCUUAA